ACCUGUGGGGAGGCUGCUGGCUUGGGCUUGGACCUGUGAAGUUGUCGGAGGUGGCUGUGCUCUCUGGGCACUUGGCUGAAAUGUGAUGCCAUUGGUUCUCAGUCAAGGUUCCUCUCUGCAGGGCUGGGAACACAGAUCAGCUGCUCCCGGGUGUACACAACCGGGAAGCAGAUCCACCCGCUGCGAGCAGCCUUUUUAACCCCGAGACUUUUUCCAAGAGCUCCUGUGCACGCAGGAAGUUUCCUUCCCUGGCGUCACAUGUAGCCCUGAGCUGCCGUCUUCAGAUCCGAGCUGGGCUCCCUGCAGCACAGGAGAGCGGCUUCUUUGAGACAUUUGUCCUUGAAACUGCACCAAACUCUGGGGAGAGCCUAGAACGCGUUAUAAUUCAGGCAGAACCUCAUCAUUAUGGACCAGGAGCUGGAGUGAGAUCAUCGUGGAACCAGAGCCAGAGCGAGCGCACUCUUCUUCCCACUAUUUUUUGAGGCACAAAUGUAGCCAGGAGUGAGUCAUUCCACAGGAUCCCUCGGCGGUGGAGGGUCUUGGAUAUAAAUGGGCAAGACUGUGGUGCAGGAAACCAUCACCUUCACCUAGGAUCUACCCGCCUGCCCGCCCGCCCGCCUGCCUGCCUGCCCACCCGCCUGCCUGCCUGCCUGCGGUGAGUUCAAAGAAAUAGAUUCUCUGAUUCCAGUCUCUGCCUUAGGCCACGUCCCUACUGCAGGGCGCUUCGGGUACUCAGAGAGUCCGCCUAAAGCCGAC
rnacentral:lncRNA from 1 species